rnacentral:lncRNA from 1 species
AAAAACAGCAACCAUGAAGAUAAUGAGAAGAUACAUGCCUUUUUAGAUAUCGGUGAAGACAUAUACGAUGGUGUGCGGUGGAAGUUGGGACGGUGAUGCCUUUCGUUUCUUCUUCUUCUCUUUCUUUUUAUGUGUUUUUUAUCAGUAUUAAUCUCAGAUCCCUCCCCCUUUUUGAAAUUUGAUAGGGCGUAUAUAUAGAGUUUUUUUUAUCUGUUUAAUUGUUUUCUUGCUUGCCUUGGUCCUUCUCCAUCAAUGUCCUGUUUGAUGUUUCGUUUUCGUUGCUCAUCAUCUGCAUUUUUCUGCACCUUUGACGCCUUCGUAAAUUUAGAUUAUUUGUUCUGAUUUGUUCAUUGCUGAGCUUUUAUUUGUCUUUUAGUUUCUUUUUUUUUAAACUCUAAAAUUUGUCUCUUUGUUCUGCACAAUGUGUACCAAAACUGACUUAAAAAUUAUGUUUUUAUGUUUCUCAAAUUAGUUAAAACAGGAACAGAUGUAUCAAUAAGCAUGGCUUGUGCAUCAAUGGUCGUCAUCAUCAACAUAGCAGGGUUUGGCAGUGAACAAAGUCAACAUAGCAUGGCUUGAUCUGAUUUAAUUUUUACUGUAAUUUAAUUUGGCUUUAUUUUUAAAUUGUAAUUUGAUUUGAUUUUAGAAUUGUAAAUAGAUUUGAAAUUGUAAAUUUAUGAGACAUAAUAAAAAUAUUUAUUGUAAUUAUUUUUAUUUCCUUUU